GUUUAUAUAGUUUAAUAAUAAAACAUUAUAUUUUCAUUAUAAAAAUUAAAUUUUUAUUUAUAUAAAUU
rnacentral:tRNA from 1 species